CUCAUCUCCAGCUGAUAGAAAGCCAAAAUAUGCAGUCCAGUGAAUCACAAAUUCUGAAGCAAGAAAGAGUAGGUCAAAAACCAGUAAGAACUGAAGCAGGACAAACUCCUCGUCCACUGUCUGCAUGGCUGUACCACAUGCAUGACCCCCUGACUCUAGGAGAUUUUGUCAAGAUACUCAGGCAGUCUAUAUUUGAAAUAUGUCCUUUACCAAAGAAAAGAAGAGUGGUGCUGUUGCUGCCAAAGUACCUGGAGAAUAGUGUGAACAGUGCACAACUCUCAUGUCAUGUUGCUAACAGCACAUCAGUUGACAUUCAUUGUAAGUUCAAGCAAAGAGCUGUUGAGGAAGAGUGUGAGGAAGACCUGCCUCUGCAGCCAGAGGAGGACAUGAAUGAUUCUCCAGUGUUCUCCUCUCCCUCCACAUCUCCUGACAGCAUGGAGUCUGUUGGCUUUUUUAAAUCUCCCUGCUCUUCACCACCAGCUGUCUGCUCAGAAGCCCCAUCUGCACAGGAACCCAUCCUCCUAAAGCAGAACUCUUCUGCUGUGCCUGAAGAGGAGGAAAGCCACAUCCCAGAUGAGGACAAAACUCUGGCAGACAUGAUCCCUGGCAGUUCCGAUCUAACCCUCACUCUAGACAGCACCACAGAGGCGCUAUCCAUCAACAGCCUGAGCAGGGAAAGUUUAUAGAGAAGAUUUUCCCUGGUGUGGAAACUGGAGUCAUCUCACACUCAGCUGAGGGUGUUGCAGUAGAAGCUCCACAUGCAGAGAGGAGACUCUUGAGCACACUUAACCUUCACCCUAACUGCUACAGUAAUGAGGACAAUCAGUCAGUGUGCUCACUUCCCGAGAUCCCCGCGGAGAGUCAUAACUUUUUAUCACCCAGUCAUGAGAAGUUAACUUACAAUAAAACUGUGGAUGAUGCUGUGAGCAUUAAGCCCAAGAAUCUGACUGAGACUGAAGAGUGGAUCAUUUCACCCAGUCAGCCAAAAACAGAGUUUGUUUGCCUGCAGGAUUCUAAAGCGUCAAGAACCAGCAGCUUUCUAGAGCUGAAAUCCUUAAGGCGGGCGCUGUCUCCCUCACGAGUGGAGGAAUGCCAGGAAGACUUCUUCCAUAAUCCUGAAGAUGCCAUAGACCAGCCAGAAAUCCUCACUUCCUGCGCCAUCACAAAUACCAUGCACAACCUCCUGGCUCAUCUCCAACAUGCUGACGUCUUAGUAGAUGAUCGAGAACCCUACCAGGCCUGUUCCUUAAGUGCCCUUAAAAGCUCCAUCGUGGAUAUGGGCCUCAUCCAUCUCUCCCAACGAUCCCGGCAGCUCCAGAAUCCUGCUGGUUCCCAGUCCAGCCCCGUCCACACCCAGCAGCUCAGUCUUUCUCAGCAGUCCAGACACCGGUCCUCCAGCGAGUCCAGGAUCACUAGCACAAAAGAAGCAGUGUGUUUCCGGACCACCUCAGACCGGGUGGGUCACUGUAAGCUGGGCAGCUGGUGGAAACAGGCGCUGGAAACUCGACGGGCUUCAACCGGACUGCUUCCUGCUUUAGAGCAGGUUUCUCCUACACGAGAAAAACGGACAUUUCCUGUUGCACGAUGUCCCCAACCUCAUUGGCUUGGAAGCUUCUUAGAUCUUCCAUCCAAUCCAAGAGUGGAAAAACGAGAGGGCAAACAGGAAGAGAAAGAUGAAGUAACAGGCUGGAGAGGAUCUCUUAAAGUGACCAUUAAUCAGAUUGAUCAUAGACCAACUUCACAUCAAGGCCAUCGACGAAAAAUGAGGAAACAAAUCAAACGAGCUUAAAAAAUAAAUAAAUAAAAAAUAGCAAAUGCUGUUUGCAUAUAUAGGGAACUAAGUGACUGUUGCAAUCAUAAGUUUAACAUAUUAUACAUUAAUUAAAGGGUGUUAUUACAAUUGUCAUAUGUAAAUGUUUAGUUGAUCAAAAUAUCACAAUAAAGUCAUGUACAAAACUUAAACUGAUGGGGAAAAAAUGUAUGCGUGCAUAUUAG
ensembl:lncRNA